rnacentral:lncRNA from 1 species
UUGCAAGUAAGUCUCAUUUAAACUGAUCUUCAUUAUUUCAAUGUCCAGUUUUCCAUGCUUGCGUGUACUGGACAGAAUGUGUUGAAGCAGAUUUUCAAUAGAGUGGCUACCCUUCCUGUCACCAACUCCCACCUGUUUCCAAGUAAGGCCAAAUAUGCUUGCAUGGAAGGAAGGAAAUGAAAGACACCACUUGUAUGUCAGCCACACUCAUUCAAAUCCACUCAGAAUACUUAGGUCAAUUUGGAGCUGUAGCAGAAGACGCUUUCCCAAGGUGCUAUGCAUUGGGACAGAACCCAAGACCAUGUGGUUGAGAAACAAGCUUCUUAACUACACAACCACACCUGUACCUACAUGUCUUUCAAUAUUCGAAGACCACCUUGACGUAAAUACCACUCCAAAUCUUUCAUGUCCACAAUCAAACUUUCUUAUUCCACCACACUUAAUCUUGGAUCCAUAGUCAUAGCAGCAAAUUAAUGGAAACUCAGCCUUAUAUAGACUUGUAAAUUUUGUAAUGAUAUUUAGUGUUACCAUAAAUACUAAUAAUUGUAGUAGUAGCAAUAAUAUUAAUAAUGAUAUGAAUGUGGUCCACUGUCUUCAUAAUAAUAAUAAUAUAUUCUUGAACAACAACAAUUGUGAUAAGUAUAAUAACCAUAAUAAUAGUAAUGGAGAUAUAAAUAAAGAUAUGAAUAAGAAAUGCUCUAAUAUCAGCAACAGCAUUAAGAAGAAUCCCAGUAGUAAUAAUUUUAUUUACAGUAAUUGUAAUCUUAUAUUAUAAAAGAGAAGCCAAUCUUCAUCUGGCUGUCCAUAACAACAUCUAUGUAGAGGGAUGAAAGAAGGGGAGAAAUCAACUGGGGAGGUAACCCUUGUCACAGCAUAUAUUUAGGAGGGGAGGAGAAAAGUGGUUGAGAGAGAGAUAGUGUGUGAAAGAUAGAUAGAUAAGUAGACAGGUAGUGUUACCAUAAUAACUAACAAGUUUUUAUUAAAAACGCAGGAAUUUUAAGUGAAAGUCUGUCAACACAAUGCAAACUUCAAAAUAACUAUAUGUAUAAUAUAUAGUUAUUAUUUUGGUUGUAUGUUUCUGUGUGUCUUUCAACAUAUAAACAAUGCAACACGGGCUUUAAAAAAAUACUUUCACUAUAAUGUGAAAUGGUUAUUGCUGAGAGAGAGAGAGAGAGAGAAUGUGUGUAUGUGUGAAAGAUAGAAUCAAAAUUUAUUUCAAGAAAAAAAAAGAAACAGUUUGUUGUUGAGCAUAUCAUUGUGACCAUUGUAGUAGGCUUUUGCUGAAGAGUCUAUUUCAUCUGAUAGCAAAGCGAAAAGAAUAGCAAUAGUAUUAAUGCUAAAAGUAACUUAAUCCAUAAUAUGAAAAAAAGUAAUUUCAGGAUACCCAGUAGAUACCAUUUCUGUAUAAUUUUAUAAGUGCGCUGUCUGUAGUAAUCAUCAAAAUAUACAUAGGCUCUUUGGCUGAUUUUAAGAGAUGCUGUUUGGCACAUAUUAGUUUGUUCUCUAAUAUUAAGCAUAAAUCUUCUACUUUGCUAGUAAAUUAUAUUCAUCAUCUCAAAGCUAAUAGUGUUUCCUUUAACAUCUGGUUAAAUUAGGGCUGGAAGACCUUACAUGGAUGGUUGCACUGCAUACAAUUUGUGCAGCCAAGGAUCCCUUAAGAUUUUACACGAGAAUAAGGAUCUCUUUAAUAAGCAAUAUUAUAUAAUAACAUUCUGCAGGCAUAGAUUUUUUUAACAUUUUUUUCCUUUUACCAUAGAUUAACAUGUUCCAGUUGGCAUUUAUAAUUAUACAUUUUGUAUUCAGAUCUAACCUUCUAAUUCUUGCUUUUAUCUAUUUAGCCUAAAUAGAAUGACGACCUACCUUAAUUCAAAUGAAGCUUUACAAUUAUUGUAUGUUUUCCAUUUGCGUAAUAUUGUUGGUUGUUAUAGUUCAUCCUCACAACAUUUACAUCUUUUUAUUUCUUUAUAUUUUUCUAGUGGCUUUAUUCUUAUCUGCACACUCAGACACUUAAAUCAGCUUGUCAAUGCCUCUUUUACACAGUAGAGGCCAUUUCAUUUACCAUUUCUUUUUUUCUUAAUAGAUUCCCUUUCAUCGCCCUUUAUUCCUUAUUCUUCAAACUUAGAUCUACAACCUGUUCUUAAUAGUCAAGCUUUUCAUACCAGUCUUUCAUUCUUUACUCUCUUCUUUCUCAUCCUUUUUCUAUAUCCCACCUCUCUCACACAUUUUAAUGACAUAUUUUUGCUCUAGAUCUUACAUCCUUUCUCUCCCUUUUCCUUUAUUCACAUCACCAGUUCUAAUUACCCUCUUCUUCCUCCAUCUUUUUAUUGGUACUUAUUGAUUUUCCUAAAUAUGUGGACUGCUACUAUUGCAUUCUCAUUUGCUACUCAUCCUUCUGAUGAAAAUAUUCAGCAUUUCCAGCAUAAAGAUAUGAACGUAUCAUGCUUGAUAUUUUUGCUUAUUUACUGUAUAUGAUUAUUGCUUCACUAUGUACAUUUAUUUGCAUAAUAUGCACUGUAGCAUCAACUUUGGAAACAGCUGUAAAGAUAACAUCUCAUAUAAUUGCAUUAAUGCCAUCAAUAGUUAUUUGUCUAUCUUUUAUUUCAUGUGUGUGUGUAUAUAAAUAUAUGUAUACACACACACAGAGUUAUACAUUUGAAGGCAGUUGCAUAUGUUUGUGUGUGUUUGUCAUCACUUCACAGCCAGUGGUGAUUUUUUUUUUUGUUUUAACUUUUCAUAACUUAGUAUUGCAUCAAGCAGUUACUGAAGCUCAGUACCAAAUUUAAAAUAUGUAUUCAUUUGAUCUGGUGAAGUAAUCGCUUCAAGGUGAUAGUAACUGAAACCAGUAAGUAAUGCAUAUACACAUACACAUGUGUCUGUUUGUGUGUGCUACUAGGCAUAUAUACAUAUAUAAGGCAAGGUAUGCAUUUGUGAUUAGGAGGACCACUUAUCCUUGUGGUUUGGGUUUUCUCCUACGCAACAGCACCUAAAGCUACUGUCUACUGCUGUGAAGCCAGGUUAGCCAAUGUUUUGCAAAUGAAUUUGGUAGACAGCUGUUAUGUGUGUGGUGAGGGGAGGAGUAGCUUAGUGAAUGUUUAUACCUUCCAUGCUUCACAUUAAAAUGUGCAGAGCUCCAAGCAGUUAAGUUUGUUGUCAUUUUUCAUGUCAGCAACGUUGUCCAUUGGCUCUGCACUUUUGACAGUAUGUUUGAGUAAGAGAUUCCUUGCUUAUAUAACAGAUAAGGUUUGGUGACUGGAAGAGCAACUGUCUGUAAAAUGAUGCCUUAAUCAUAAAUAUUUGUCUAAUACAUUCUAGAAUAGUGAGAAGUGCAUGGACAAGCAAACAGUAUGUAUGUGUGCAUGUAUAUAUAUAUAUAUAUAUAUAUAUAUAUAUACAUAUGGCAGGAUUGAUUGAAUAGAUUGAAUUGUUUGUAUGUGAAUUUAUAGAUAUUCAUCAUAACUGGUUUUAACGAGUAUGUUUACUUGUAUGUGUAUAUGUUGGUCAUGUAUGUUUGUGUAUAGGUUUUAUGUAUAUGUAACGUCUAUAUUUGGAUGUAUGUAUACAUUUUUUUUAAAUUUAUGUACACGUCUGUAUAUAUGC